rnacentral:lncRNA from 8 species
AUGACCAUAAUAUAUGCUGUAUUUUCAGGGAAAGAAGAGCCUCUUAACCCAAGGGUUUGGGGAAUUGCAGGAGCAGGAGCAACCUUGGGAGUAAUUUUGCUAAUCAUCCUGAUCACUUACUUUGGAUGGAAGAGAAAAUCUAGGCUCCCUGAUGGACUUGAAAGGACAGACAAUCCACUGAGACAGAACUCCCCAGUUGGGAUGGUGUAUACUAACCAGGCCAUGACCGGAGAGGAACCAGAGGAACCAGCAGAAGACCAGCCUGAGGAGAUCUACUACGGCGAGGAACCAGAGGAACCAGCAGAAGACCAGCCUGAGGAGAUCUACUACGGCGAGGAACCAGAAGAACCUGCAGAAGACCAGCCUGAGGAGAUCCACUACGGUGAGAUAGACUUCUCCAAACUUCGGCCCAAAGAGACCCCAGCUGCAGCCCUGGACAGGGAACAGGGGCAGGAGAGUGAAUACGCUGAAGUCAGUGUGACCGGGAGAGGGGCCAGGAACCUCCAGUUAUAAAUGGGGUUUAUGCACAAGUGAAUAAGAAAAGUGCAUUUUGAGCAUUUUGCCAAUGGGUAUUAUUUGUUUUUAUGGACAGUAUGUAUUUUGUAAUUGUUUUCUAUUGGUAUUUGGUUGUUAUAUUUACAAUUUUGGGCUCUUUGAUUAUCUGCAUAUUUUGUAGAAUUUUCUGGGGUGAAAAGUGUUUAACUGUAACUACAGUGGUGGUUGGAUGAUACUCUCUAUUUUAGCCAAUUUAUUUUGAGUACUGAUUUCACAGAGCAUCUGUUUAAUGAGUUCAUCUACUGAAGGCAGUUUAAGGCCAUGUAAAGUCAAUGAUGACUGAGGAAAGAAGAAACACAAUUAGUUGGGAAAACAGUGGCCUGAUGCAAGACAGGAAGUUGGUGAAGUAAGUGUACAUUUCCAGACUGAUAAAAUCUACUGGUCACUAUUUUUCUUUUACUUUUAUGCAGUUGCCGGAAUAACAAUAUUAUCUAUUUUUUAUGCCUAUAUCAAUGUUGGACUUAUCGUCUUAUCUUAUCGUGUUUUUAUGUUGAGUGUUGAGCAAGAAAAGAAAUUGAGGCUGAAUUUGAAGUUGUUUAUUAAUUGCAUUGUAAUAAAAACCUUUACAUUAAAUGUCCAUAAUCUCUUGGUCCAACAUUUUACAUAAUUAAACCAUGUCAUGAUUAGAGAUGAUUCUUUGGGCGAUAGCUUGAAAACAUCCA